rnacentral:rRNA from 1 species
UCGUCGCGUCCGGUGUGAAAGUCCAUCGCUUAACGGUGGAUCUGCGCCGGGUACGGGCGGGCUGGAGUGCGGUAGGGGAGACUGGAAUUCCCGGUGUAACGGUGGAAUGUGUAGAUAUCGGGAAGAACACCAAUGGCGAAGGCAGGUCUCUGGGCCGUUACUGACGCUGAGGAGCGAAAGCGUGGGGAGCGAACAGGAUUAGAUACCCUGGUAGUCCACGCCGUAAACGGUGGAUGCUGGAUGUGGGGCCCGUUCCACGGGUUCCGUGUCGGAGCUAACGCGUUAAGCAUCCCGCCUGGGGAGUACGGCCGCAAGGCUAAAACUCAAAGAAAUUGACGGGGGCCCGCACAAGCGGCGGAGCAUGCGGAUUAAUUCGAUGCAACGCGAAGAACCUUACCUGGGCUUGACAUGUUCCCGACAGCCGUAGAGAUAUGGCCUCCCUUCGGGGCGGGUUCACAGGUGGUGCAUGGUCGUCGUCAGCUCGUGUCGUGAGAUGUUGGGUUAAGUCCCGCAACGAGCGCAACCCUCGCCCUGUGUUGCCAGCACGUCAUGGUGGGAACUCACGGGGGACCGCCGGGGUCAACUCGGAGGAAGGUGGGGAUGACGUCAGAUCAUCAUGCCCCUUACGUCCAGGGCUUCACGCAUGCUACAAUGGCCGGUACAACGGGAUGCGACACGGCGACGUGGAGCGGAUCCCUGAAAACCGGUCUCAGUUCGGAUUGGAGUCUGCAACCCGACUCCAUGAAGGCGGAGUCGCUAGUAAUCGCGGAUCAGCAACGCCGCGGUGAAUGCGUUCCCGGGCCUUGUACACACCGCCCGUCAAGUCAUGAAAGUGGGUAGCACCCGAAGCCGGUGGCCUAACCCUUUGUGGAUGGAGCCGUCUAAGGUGAGACUCGUGAUUGGGACUAAGUCGUAACAAGGUAGCCGUACCGGAAGGUGCGGCUG